UAAAGUGGUCCGUUGGCUUUGUUAGGACCUUCAUACUCCCCAGAUUGCAACCCAGUUGAUCAGAGGGGAGCCUCUUCUCACUCUUCCAAAAUUUCACCCUUCUGUUUCCUUUUUCCUCUCAAAAGAUCUAUUGCCAUUCCUCGGAGUGGACCCUUUUGGCCAUUUCUUGAGUCAGUUAGCCUCGUUGGCUGUCCGAUCUUCUCUCCUCCUCCAUUUUUCCCACGGCGAACUCCGGCACUUCCCCUACCAGGUAAGCUUGCUCCCUUAAUUUUAAUCCUCCCAUCGCUAAAACAUGCGCUUGGUCGUUCCUCUCCCUUGUGUGGGAGAACAAACGGGUUGGAAAUCAUCUUUUAACGAUUUUACAUUUUCAAUGAAAGCACUUAUAUAUAAUAGGCUAUAUUUUGUUUUCUUUAAUUUUUGCAGUUAUAUUUUGAAAUUGUAUAAUUUGCCAUUCAAUUAUUAGUGUGAUUGAAUUUUACCACUAAACUUUAAUUUUUUUUAAAAGAAUUUCCAUAAACUUUGAUUUUUAGUUAAAAAUUUAGCACUUAAUAUUAAUUUUGAUGAAAAAAAAUUGAACUUUAACUACUAAUCAAAAGUUACUUAAAGUUCAUACUUUUAUGUAUUAUAGAUAGAUAAGUCAUAAAUAUUUAAUUUAAUCAAGUUACAUAUUCAACUUUAACUACUAAUAAAUUAAGCCAUUUAUACUAACAUUGUAACACUCUCGACUCGAUUUGAUUGGUUGGAUCCAGAUCUUAGGUAUUAUCAAGUUAAUACAAAUAAAAACUCAAUCUACUUUUACAAAUUACGAUCACUUACGUCUUACUUAAUCACAAAAUUUCUAAUUUGAAUAGAUAAACAUGUACAAGUAAAUAUAAUUACAUCACGUGGUAAUUAAAAUACAACAAUAUUUAAUUUGAAACUCUAAUACAAUACAGAUGCCCCAAAUAGGGACUUCUAAGUAAUAAUUCAGUCUUGGAAUACAUCGCCAAUCUUGCUCUGUAUACACAAUAACCUGAUAUUUCACUUUUAGGGAUAGUCCUAACAUCGUCCCUCUUGACGUAGACUUACGUCAUCUCACUUAUAACAUAAUACAUACAGAUAAGUUUAUAAGAAUUUAGUAAGGAAAAUAUAAUUUACAUGAGUCAUAUUUGCACAUUGCAAUUGAUAGUUUAGAUAGAUGAUACCAUCGUCCUUAAACAUUCAACUUUGUCUCUGAUGAAUACUUCCUCAAGUUUUGUUUCCAUAUUCACAUCAGAUAUCAUACCUUACUUUGAAAUCACUUCUUCUUAUCGAAGUAUUCAAUACAUCAUUUACUUCUUUCAAUCAAAACAAUCAUAAAUCUUUAUCCAUUUUCUUUUCAGAGAUCAAUACAAUCAGUAACAACAUUACGCUUGCAAACUUACUUCUGAGCCAUCAAAUCAUCACAAUUCAAAAGAAUGUGUGCACAGACGAUAGAUACCUCCUUCAAACAUACAAAUUUUACAGUCUUAUUUUUAGACGAGUCAUAGCCUUAUAUAACUCGUUUUUACUGUACUAACCAUAUAGACAUAAAACCUUUCUAAUCUUACUGAUUUCACUUAAGAGUCAUGUUGAAUGCGCCUAAUCGAUUUAUUAUAGAACCUGCCACAAGAACAUUCUUUCCGAUAUGUCACCAAGGACUUUAUUUUGACGUAUCAUAUGGACAUUUCUUUCAGAGUUCGUCAUGAAUGAUACUUUUUCAUAUUGCGCUACGAAGGCGCUCCUUUAGGGUUUGCCAUAAGGGUAUUUUCUUCCUAAUGUGUUUGUGAUAUGAAUUUGCCUAGACUCACAUUUCGUGAGAUUUGCUUGUCAUUAUCCUAAGACAUGCAGAAAAAAUCCAUUAGGCUAUAGCCAUGACCAUGGACUUUCCAUUCAGGGUUCUUAUUUAAAGUCCCGGCGAACCCUUUUGAACAUCACCGCGAUGAACAGACAUAAACUCUUCAUGCCCUUAUACAAUUUAAACCUAACCUUUUAUUCCACCAACAUAUAACCACAUACAUUCCCGACUCAUAAUACAAAUUCUAGGCAUACAUAUAACCAUACCUCAGCAUUACAUUAUUUAAUCACCAUUCAUCAUAUGCUUGAACUUAUCAUAUUCCAUACCAAUUAUACAUGCCAUCCUCAAUGAACAAUCAUACAUUCAUAGAUCUCAUUUAGUAAUUACUCAUAUAGUUACAUACAUAUCAUAUCGUACCUUUCGUGAUCUCGGCUUCAUAUUUCAUUUAGUAUGCCACAGAUCUAUUUGCAUGAAUAGUACAUAUGCAAAAGUCAGCAAAGAGGCUCACCUGACAAUCUCACAUAGCAGCUUAAAUUCUAGAUCCAACAAGAGAUUACAAUAACCACUACUUAUAAAACAAAAGAACACCAUUAAAACUCGUUUUAACCUCUACCGUCAUCUUAAACCUAGAUAACCCACAUAUAAAGCCUUACUUCUUUAUUUAACUAUUCAUGCACUUAUUCAAACUUAAUCUUUCAUAACUUUAACAUGUAGAGUUACAAUAUUUACCUUGACAUGUAGUAGUCACUAACAAAAAUCUAGAUUUACAACUCCAAUUUAUAGGAGAAAAAAAUACUUUCUGGUUUCUCCAGUAUCAGAUAACAAUACUUUAGAAGAAAGAAGGAAAAUUUUUUCUUUCUCUACCCUUAAUAUCGACAUAUUUAACCUAAGUCCUUAUUGGAACUUGACAUGUGUCACAACUCGUAAGAUUGUUUUUAUAAAUGGCUUACAGUUGUAGAGAGAACCUAAAUAAAAAUCCAAUAAAUUAUAUAUUUGGUUCUUCGGUUCUAUCCAUUUCUAUCCAAAUGGUUUUUAACGUAACUGGCACAGUAACUCAAUGAACUUGGCAUAUAAUACCUUCGACAAUAACUCCAACUUACAAAAUUCUCAAUACUCUUACCAAACUCCCUUUCCUUACAGCACAACACAUUCUAAGUUCGAUCCGUAUAUAAUAUUCCAAUAUCUGCUAUGCACUCAAAUUGUACACCAAAACAAUAAUUGGGCAGAUAGGCUACGCCUCACAAAUUACUCUCAGUCUACUCGCCAGAACUUAAAACCCAUCAAAACUAGGUGUUACAAACGCCGUCGAGUUAUUUUAAUGGAAAAAUUGAGUUAUCACUUCUAUUUAGCAAUUUUUUUCAAAUAAGCAAAUAAUAUAUAUUGUUAUUUUAAAUAAAUUUGUCUAAGCUUUUUUCCAAACAUAAAUUACUAGAGAAAUAAAAUUUAGUUUUGCAAUUCUGUAAGAAUGAAACCUUAAUCAAUUGAAUCAAUUUUUUUGAAUUUUUUUCUCAUUCUUCAUCAUUCAUUUUCAACCAUUAAAGAUUUGCAAUUGUUCCUUUAAACUUUCAUAAUCGAUCAUGGAGGUUUUUAUUCCUUGAUAUAGAGGUAGGGAUCAACAUUGAAAAGUCCUCGAGUUGCAGAUUUGACGUAGGGCUUUAGACUAAAUUGAAGGGAAUUGGCAUGUAAGCAACCUAAAACACAUAAGAAAUGUAACAACUCGAUAGGCAGGGGUGUUGAAAAGUGUAUAUCCGGGACUCUGUUCAUGUAAACCAGACUCGAAGUUAAUUAUUUAGUUAAUUAAAUUUUGGAUAGAUAAUUUACAUGAAUUAGGAGCUAUUAUGGUUUAAGGACUAAAUUGCGUAAAAGUAAAAAAUUCAAUUAUAAAUUGAAAUAAACUAAAGGGGCUAAAGUAAUAAUUAUGUAAUUUAAUAAAUGGUUGUGUAUAGGUGCCCGGUCAAGGGUUAAGUGUAAUGUGCUUUUAUAUAUUAUAUAUAUGUUAUAUAUUAAGUUAGAAUAAUAAUAGUAAUAAAUAAAAUGAAAACAAAAUUAAAAGAAAAAAGUGAAGUAGAAUGAGAGAGCACAUGCAAAUUAAAAGAAAAGAAAAGAAAGAACCAAAAGAGGCCGACGAUACUAAGGGCUUCAAACUUUCAAAUUUUAAUUGGUUAGUCAAUUUAGCCCCAUUUUCUUAUAAUUUUCAUAUUUUUGGAAUCACAGUACCUAGGUUCUAAUUUUUAGUAUUGUUUAAGAUUUUAGAUGUUGCUAUUGUUGAAUAGUUUAAGUAUUAGGAAUUAAAUAGAUAGAUUUUUAAGCUAGAAGUGGAAAAUGACUAAAUUGUGAAAUUAAUAGUUGAUUUUGAGUAAUAGGGACUAAAUUGAGAAAAUUUUGAAAUUGAAGGGUUGAAUUAGAAAAUGAGCUAAAUUUAGUUUAAAGUGAAAUUAGUAUAAAAAUAUAAAGUUAAAUGUGAAGGUUAAAAAUUAGUCUCGAUUUAGGGACUAAAUUGAAGUUUAAGCAAAUAAAGUGUAAAAUUUUAAUUUUAAUGUAAAAUUAAAUUAUGUAAUAUUAAUAUAUUUUAAUUGUUUUAUUCCGUAGCUAACGUCGUACCGGAAUCCUUGAGUAAAAAGGAGAAGGAUAAAAUUGACGUCGAAUAGCUCAGAAUUUACGGUUUGUGUGUUCUAUAAUCCUAAUUAAAUAACAGAUUGUUGUAUAAUUAAUUGUUUGCAUAUGGUAAGCAUUUGUGGUGGGUACUUUGGUACUUUUGGAUUAAAUUGAAUUCAUAGUAAAUUUGAAAGGGAUUCAUUUUGUGUAUUAUGAAAUAUGUUGAUUAUAUGAAUAUUGAAUUGACUAUAUGUGAUAGUGUAUAUAUGUGAAACUGAGACAUUAGUUGUAUUGAAAAGUGAAAUAAAACUCUAUUAACUGUAUCGGGCUGAGUUGGAUAUAGAUGGCAUGCCAUAGGAUAGGAAGAGUUCAAGGAUUUCUCUUAAGUCGAUGAGGCACUGGGUGCCAAUUUACUUUGGUUUAACUGAUGAGACAUUGGAUGUCAAUUUAUAUAGCACUGGGUACAGUUAUUAUUUUGGAAUUAACUAGACACUAGGUGCCAAAUUGGUGUGUUGGUUGGAUCUGUGUAUCUAUCCGAGUCUGAGUCAUGUUAAUAGGGAAAAUUAAAUAAUAAAUUUAUAUGUUUGAUAUUGAGAUGACCAUGUUGAGAAAUGAAUAUGAGAUGAGAAAAAGAAAUAUGAAAUAAUGAAAUGUGAUGUGAAUCUUGAAAUGAAUUCAAGUAUCAAAAUGAUUAAUCAUGCCAUUGAAUGAGUUGGACUACUAAAUGCUAUAUAUAUGAAAUAUCACUGAUAUGUGCUUGAACAUAUGAAAUAUUAUUACCAUGUGCUAAAUUUUGUGAACUCUAUUGAAUGUGAAUAAAGAAUGAGUAAGUUGGCAUUAUUGAUUUGAUACAUAUGUUUUAUAACAUUACUUAUUGCAUUUUUAUAUCUUAUCUAUCCAUAUCAAGUUUAAAUUAUUCGGAUUAUAGAAAUACCACUAAGUUAUACUCAGUGUGCGGUUUUGUUUUCUGUACGCAAGCUAGGUACUUUUCAACAUAUCGCAGACUCAGCAUCAAACAAUAAAUCCCGAGCUCAAGUGUGGUUAUAUCUUAUUUUGAAAUGGCAUGUACCGAGGAAGUCUUUGGUUGAUAGUUGGUUUGUCAAUGUCAUGUUAUUUUGUUUUAAGGUGAAUUGAUGGUUACUUAUAUAAUUGUGGUUUAAGCUAUGUUUUUGUAUGUAGUCUAAUUAAUGUGUUGGUAUGUGUUGUAGUUUAAAACUUGGUAGCCUAAGUAGUUAAAGGUUAGUUCAAUAUUAGUUAAUUUGAUAUGAAUGAAAGUCUUUGAAUGGUUGAUGUGUUUGAUGAUAUAAAAUGUAGCACCAAUGAGGGUACAUUGGCUAGACACUUAAGGUGGUUUAUUUGGUUUGUUUUAAGCAUGCUUAAUCGUGUUUUGAACAAGUUAAAUGACUGUUAAUUAAGUUUCUUAGUGUCUAAGUAAGUAGGAAAUGGUAAACUUGAGUUUUAAGGUACUUAUAGGUGCAUAUGGCCUAAACACGGUCUGUCACACGAUCGUGUUGAAAAAUAGUAUAGGUGUAGUUUCCACACGGGCUGACACACGGCUUGGGACACGGUUGUGUAACCCAAGUCAGUGAGUUACACAGGCAGAAACACGGGCUGGGACACAACCAUGUGUUUCAAGUUAGUGAGUUACAUGGACUAGGACACAGCCCGUGUCUCAACUUCGAGAGCCACACGGUCUGGGGCAUUUUACACGGCUGUGUGUCCCCUUUUUUAAGUAUUUUCAAAAAUUUCCUAAACUUUCAGAAUUGAUCCAAAUUAGUCCCUACUUAUUUUUAGACUAUUCUUAAGGUCUCGUAGACUCGAUACAAGGACUGUAAGAGUAAUUUUUACUUUGAAUUGGAAUGAAUUAGUAAACCUGAAUUAAGUGCAUUAUACUAAUAUCAUCGAAGGUAAUAAUAGCCGUAAUAUGGACCAAUACUCUGAUGCUAAUAAUUAGAAUUGUCUUAUUAUGUAUCCGACUUCUAGCAUUCAAGAAGGGAUAAAUAGUGAUAAGAGUGUAGACAGUGAAAGACCAAAUUUAGCAUUGCAUAGUAUGAUAUACUAUUCGAUUAUAUAAGACACUACUAUGCAUUUAGAUUGACAUGAUCUACCCUUGUAUAUUAUGGCGACAUUAGUUAGCUUAUACUACUACUUGUGAUGUAACUAAAUGUUUUGAUUGGUUAGUAAUGUAACAUCCCGAAUUAGGGCCUAGUCGGAACAGUGGUUUUGUGACCACAAAUCCGAGAUGAUAAUAAUUAUUUUAUUAUUAUUAUGAGGUCUAUGAUAUGUCUCUAUGCUUGUGUGAAAAUUUCAUGAAGAAAUUUUAUGUGAAAAGUGCUUAAUUAGACUUUAAGGACUAAAUCAAAUAAUUUGUAAAACUCGUGUUCUAGAAGCAAUUUGCAUGAAAUUGAAUUAGAUUAUUAAUUAGAGGUCCUUAAAGAGCAAUUUGACCAAGUUUUAAAAAUUUGGACAAAAAUGGCUUGGAAGGGUAAAAUUUGAAAGAAUGGUAAAAAGGGCAUUUUGGUCAUUUAGGGGUAAAAUGAAUUAAAAGACAAAAAUUAAAAGCCAAAUGUGUCCAUCUUCCUCCUAUGGUAGUGUGAAUCAAGAGGGGAGCCAUGGCUAGGGUUUUCAAGCUUCCAAGCUCAAUAGUAAGUGAUCCUGAGCCCCUUUUUAACGUUCUAUGUAUUUUUAAAUCCCGAUAACAUGCUCUACUCAUUUCUACCAUUAUUUUGAGCUAGGGUUUAUAUUUAAAAAUUUACCCAUGCAUGACAUGCUAGUAUUUUGAUGUUUAAUGGUAGAAUAUGAAAGAUUAGAGUAUAUUUAACACCUUUUACUAAGUGAUUUUUCAUGAAAAAGCCUAAAAAGGACUAAAUUGAAAAAGGUGUAAAAUAGGUAACUAAAAAUCUGUUUUAAUGAGAAAUGUGGGCUGCCAUAAGCUUGACUAUGGUUCGGCUAGGCUUGGGUAAUCAAGAAAUUGAACAUUUUACGAGCCUAGAGACUAAAUUGAAAAUAUGUGAAAAAUUAGAGGUAAAAUUAUAAAUUUUCCAAAAUAUGAUUUUGGGCCAAUUUUAAUAAUGUGAGUCCUAAAUAGGCUAUAAUUGAAAUGAUAGAUAAAGGAAAUCGAGAUUCGGACUUAAAUCGAGAAAAUACAAGUUUUGGACUAAAAUGAUAAUUUUGCCAUUUCCAUAUUCGAGGUAAGUUUGCGUGAUUUAACGAGCAUAUUAUUCAUGUUAUUAUUUUUAUACAUGAAAUAUAUUUUGCUAUGAUUGUAUUGAAUUUGAUAUUAAUGGAAAUUUGAUGAAAAUUGACAUUUUAAAUGAAAUGAAUAAUUUUCUAUGAAAACUAGGUGAUAUGUUAUUUUUAUUGUAUGGAUUAAUGCUCAAAUAAACAUUAAAGUGUGUAUUCAUGCAUGAAUUAUAAUGUUAAUAGUCAUUGUGAAAUAUUACAUGGGAAAGGUUGUACUAAUGAAAAGUUGAUAAAGUGUCCCGGUUGAAUAAAAAGGGAUAUCCGAUGGAUAUAUCAUUUCUUACAUGAUAUGAGAUCCUGCAUGUGUUGCAGUCAAGGAUUUAGACCAGACAGGUAAUUCAUAUAUCUCAGUAUAGAAAGGAUCUAGCCCGGACAGGUGUUCUUUGAAUAAUCGAGCCUCCCGAAGAAUAUGUGUGCAUUAUGGAUUUAGCCCGGACGGGUAAUCUGAUAGAGGACUGAAUUUAGCCUAGAUUGACAAUUCAGAUCCGAGCUUAUGAGAGCAAUUAUCGUUGAAAGGGAUUUUUCCUGGAGUGGUAAUCCCGACAUUGCUCUAUGAAUUUAUUCUACGGGGGAUUUAGCAUGAACUGGUAAUCCCGCAGUAAGAUGUAAGGUUCGCAGGAGUGCGUAUUGAGAUGAUCACUUGUAUGAAUUGACGGUAAAUGGGCUAUCCAUCGAGAUCCCCGAGAGAUUCAAUGGGAUUAACAUGAGAAAUAAAAAUGGUUGUCAUCUAUGCUUAGAUGAAACUAGUAUGAUGCAUAUGAUUGUCAUGUUUGGAUGAGUGGUUGUGCUAAGAGAUAACACAGGUACAUACUCGAAACCCAUGAACAUGUGUUUGACAUGUGAAAUGAAAAGGACUUGUGGUAAGAAUGCAAAUAGAUGAAUGAUAUAUAUGAGAAUAAUAUUUUAUGGCAAUCUUAUGAUGAACAUCAUUUUGUUGCUCUAAAACUAUUUGGACAACAGCAAUAAUCCAACUUUGAAAAUCCACUAAAAAUUGUGGAAGUCGAAUUAAAUUCUGAAUUAAAUAUGAAAUGAAAGCUUAUUGAGUCUAGUUUCACAUAAAAGAAAUGAUAUAAGAAAAAGAAUUUAAUAUUAUGAGAUAUUCGAAUUCUUGUGAGAUAUAGUCAUAAUGAGUUCGAAAUCCCUAUUCUGACUUGGGAAAAUCACUAUAAAUUGUACAAAAAUAAUUAUGGGUUAGAAUUCAUAUGACUAAUUCCUACAGACAUGAACACUAUCCGAAUCUCAUACUAAGAGAUAAUUAAGUUUUAGUGAAGAGAGGUCGGAACUAUCGGAUAGCGAAACAAGGGAGACUUUAAAGAAUAAAUGGUACUUAUUGGAUAGACCAAAAAUUUUGAAAAUUUUAUGAUAAAAAUAUAUGUGAGUCUAGUUUCUAGAAAAAUUAACGGAUCUUAAUUUGGAGUUCCGUAGCUCCAGAUACAAAUGAUUUAGUGACUAUGACUCAAGAAAACAGCUUGACUGGAUUUUAAUAAAUAGAGAGAAAUUGGAAUAGCAUAUUAAUUCCUUGCUUAUUAUUUUCAUGCGAGCUUACUAAGCUUAAAGCUUACUCCCUCCUUUCCAUUUCUUUUAGUGUUUUUAGGUCAGCUUGGGGCUGGAGAACGUUGGAGGCAACAUCACACUACCAAGCUAUCACCUUGGGAUAUUGAUACAUAGGUUGAGAAGUUUCAAGUGAGUGGCAUAGGAAUUAGUUUUUAUGAUAUGUGUUCUAUGAUUUGGCCAAAUGUAUUGGCUUAUUUUGAUUUAUUUGUACAUGGCCAUAGGGUAUGGCUCAUAUUGAGUAUGAUUUGUAAAUCUAUCUAUCCAUGCUAUGUUAUAAUGUUUGUGAUGAAAUGAUGUGAGUAUGAUGGUUAGCCAUGCAUGAAUGGUGCUGUGAAAUGCAUGUGUGAUGAAUGCUUCAUGACCAUUCGAAGUGGUCAUGACCAUGGUUAAUUAUAAUAGAGCAAGUAAGAUAAUAAUGCAUUGAACGUGAAUGCUGGAUGGAUAAGUUGAUAAUCAUGGUAUAAGAGAAUAACUGGUAAAGUAUUUGACUUGGUCAAAUAAAUGAGAUUUGGUAUGCCUAGAAUCAGUAUAACGUGAGGAUAUGUAAAAUGUGUAUAAUGCCUCGAAAAUGUCAUGUUGUGUCUUAAUAAAGAGUGUUUUAAUCAUUAAAAUGUUGCUAUGAAUUGUGAUUAUGACGUGUAUAUAGAUGUAAGGGAUUGUAGGUAACAUGAAGGCUUGGAAAAUAGCCUAAGUGUUGGCCACACGGCUGAGACACGGCCAUGUGUCUCAUCCGUGUGAGGGACAUGGCCUGGUGAUACGGGCGUGUGGCCUAGCCAUGCGGUUCAAAUUGUGUGCUAACGUCAUAAACAGAGAGUUACACGGCUUGAGGACACGGGCUUGUCCUUGUGUCCACACGGGCGUGUGACCCUGUUUUAUGAGAAAGAUUUCUAUGUUUUCCAGAACUUUCCAAAGUUCUCGAUAUAGUUCCGGACCAUUUUAAAUGCAUGUCAUGGUCCUCGUAGACCCAUAAUAGGGACACUAUGAAUAUCUUCGAUUGGUUUUAAUUUGGAACAAAAUUUUAUGGCUCGGAUUGUAUGAUCAUUUGCGUUUAAGUCCGGUAAUGCCUCGUAUCCUAUCUUAGCGUUGGACAUGGGUAGAGGUUGUUACAAGUAAUGCUUGUGACCCUAAUCUGACGAAAGAGAGGGGUUAGGUGUGACAGCCCUAAAGUGACCCUAGUCGGGAAGUGGUUUCGGGUUCACAAAACCAAGUCAUAAAAAUAAUUAGCUGCCAUAUUUGAUGCUUAUUAUAUGUAUAUAUGCAUGUGUGAAAAUUUCAUGUUUGAAUUUUGUCAAUUGUAAGUGAAUUUUAUCAAAUAAGACUUAUGUGAGAAAAUUUAGAAAUGUGCUAGGCAAAUGUGAAAUGGCCUAUUAAUGCAUGUUGUGAAAAUGAUGGGUUUGCAUGUCAAUUUACCCAAAUUUAAGCUUAGUGGCCGGCCAUGCUAUGAGUGGAAACAUGUCACAAACAUGUUAUGUUAGUGAUGUAUGUUAGGAAAAAUAAAAUAAGGAGUAUGGGUAAUAAAGAAAUGGAAAAAAAAGGAAAGAAUGUGUGUGAUUGUCUCCCCCCCAUUGCCGUGAGUGGAAGAAAAGAAAACAAAAAAAAAGUGUUCAUCCUUUGGUUCAUCCUUGGCCGAAAAUUCUAAGGAAGAAGGAAGGAGUUCUUGCUUCAUGUUUGGUUUGGAAGAGGAUUAGGAGGAGGUUCGGCCAUACUUGUAUCUAGAUUAAGGUAUGUUGAUGUUGUGCCAUGAGAUUCAUGCAUGUUUUUAGUUGCUAGCUUGAGUUCUAAUUAGCCAUGGUUCAAAUCUUUGCUAUGUCAUGGGGAUGAUAUUCGGCCAAGGUGGAUUUUGUGUUAAUGUCAUUGCAUGCUAAAUGUGAAGCUUGUUAAUGAUAAAUGUGAUGGUGGAUUGAUUAACUCUUGGAUUUUCUUUUUAGCAUUUUUGAGUGAGACAUUAAGUUCUUUGUUUAACCAUGAUCAAAAUUGAAAUGGUAAGGUGUUGUGAUGUAUUCGGCCAUGGUAUAUCCAUAAGUAUGAUUUAUGCUUAUUGCAUGGUAGGUAAGAUUUGUGUUUUGGAUUUAUGUUUAUGUUUGGUUAUAAUCAACCUUGUGAUUCGGCUCUUACACACAUAUAUAUAUAUGUUUGCACAUGAUGUAUUGGCAUGACAUAUAUAAUAUCUCAAGGUAUAUAUUUUCAUAUGAUGGUGUUUCGGUUAUGGAGUAAAUGAUGGAUGCGUAUUGAGUUAUAAUAUGUAAUGCAUUAGUUAGUAAAAUGUAUGCCAUUUGUGUAUGGUAUUAAGUAUAUAAUUGGCCUCAACAUAAACAUGCAUAUUCGGCCACAUGAAUGAGUACAUAGGUUGAUGUGUUUGUUCGGCCAUAGGUAAGCAUAUUGAAGGAUUUAUCUUGACUUAGAACAUUCGGCUAAGGAGAAUACUAACUAAUGUGUUGAGUUUGAUUCAUGAUUCCGUACAUAUGUGACUUUGAUGUCUAAUGAAUUAUAUAUGGGCUAAGUACCUUGAGUUCCUCUUUUCGAUGCUCAAAUGAUUAAAUCAAUUUAUUUGUUAAAUUAAGCUCAAGAGCAAAGGGGAACUAAAUCCGAUAAAGGGAAGGAAAAAGUGGUUGAAUAGCCAUCGAAAUCGUUCGACAACAUCCGAGGUAAGUUUUCGAGUAAUGGAACUUAGAUUAUGAUUUGAAUAGAUCAUAUUUUAAGCGAAUCAAAAUCAUGCUCUUUGUAUGUGGCUAUUGAGCCGAAAUUGC
rnacentral:lncRNA from 1 species